CCUACGGGUGGCAGCAGUGAGGAAUAUUGGUCAAUGGGCGUAAGCCUGAACCAGCCAAGUCGCGUGAGGGAUGAAGGUUCUAUGGAUCGUAAACCUCUUUUAUAAGGGAAUAAAGUGUGGGACGUGUCCUGUUUUGUAUGUACCUUAUGAAUAAGGAUCGGCUAACUCCGUGCCAGCAGCCGCGGUAAUACGGAGGAUCCGAGCGUUAUCCGGAUUUAUUGGGUUUAAAGGGUGCGUAGGCGGCCUUUUAAGUCAGCGGUGAAUGUAUGUGGCUAAACCAAAGAGUUGCCGUUGCAACGGGGAGGCUUGAGUAUGUUUGAGGCAGGCGGAAGGCGUGGUGUAGCGGUGAAAUGCUUAGAUAUCACGCAGAACCCCGAUUGCGAAGGCAGCCUGCCAAGCCAUGACUGACGCUGAUGCACGAAAGCGUGGGGAUCAAACAGGAUUAGAUACCCCAGUAGUC
rnacentral:rRNA from 1 species